GGACCACCACACCCAGCUAUUUUAUUUUAUUUUUUUUGUCGAGAUGGGAUCUCCCUGUGUUGCUCAAGCUCAUCUUGAACUCCUGGGCUCAAGCGAUCCUCCCACCUCAGCCUCCCAAAGUGCUUUGAUAAAAGGCACUGGUGAGGUGGAUUGAUGAUGAAUCUUCUGACACACCUGGAGCAACUCCAGAACACAGUCGUGAGGAUAAUGGGAAUUUACUGAAACCCGUGGAAGGAAGCCUUUAAGGAAUGGAAAGAGUGGAUAAUAAAAUGCCUCACUGUUCUCCAAAAAUAAGGACCUUCAAAUAGGAGUGAUUGAAAUAAAUAACUACUUGCAUGUUA